rnacentral:tRNA from 1 species
GGGCGUGUAGCUCAGCGGGAGAGCGCUUGACUCACAUUCAAGAGGUCCCAGGUUCGAUCCCUGGCACGCCCACCA